AGUCGUGUGUACAUCAUUGGGAAUGGAGGGAAAUAAAUGACUGGAUGGUCGCUGCUUUUUGAGUUUCAAAUUGACAUUCUAGACAAGCGGUGCCUGAGCCCGUGCCUGUCUUCAGAUCUUCACAGCACAGUUCCUGGGAAGGUGGAGCCACCAGCCUCUCCCUGACAAGCAAAGUGGAUCAGCAAAGGCUGCAGUCACCAGCAUCUUUUCCAACCUUAAUGAACUGUAUCCUCAAAAGAACACUAUCAGACUGACUCUGCCGACUUCCAGUUCUGGAACAAGAUGGUUAAACUCAUUUUUCCCUGCUCUGCUCCUCUAAAUACAACUGAGUACCUUGGAAACUAUUCAGCAGACAAUGAUAAAGGGCUCUGAAAGCUAGAAGAAAAGGUGUACUUGCAAGAAACCUCAGGACUUGAGUAACAGCAACAUGGCAGGCCAGAAAGCAGACCCAGGGAGGAUAGCCCAUGUCUUCGGCUACACUGGUGAAGGCAUCGUGCCUGCUCCACACCACAUUUUUAUUCAAGUCUUGGACGAGCCUGAGGAUGUCUACAAGUGGAAGAAAAGAAGCCACUGGAGCAGAAGGUGGGGAGGAUAAAAUUUGGAGCAAGAUUCUCAAGGAAGCAACAAGAUCCUAAGGAAAGGAGAAAGAGACCACCUACUGCAUUUCUGUCACUCGCUGAAAAGGACACUCUGUCAGAAAAUCUUCUAGCAAACUUCAAAGGGCAAAAUCACCCCUUGUUACUGAUAAAGCCCAGAGAGCUUCAGCAGCUAACAUUCCCUGGACAGGGCACAGCAAGGAUUUGAACCUAGGUCAGUCUAGCCAGAACACCCACAAGCUUUCCUUAACUCAGUGUGCUAUCUCCCCACGACUAGGUCACUACUGCUUUAUAAUCACCUUUGUAGCCACCAGUGGAUUUUGCUCAUCAGUAUUUUUCAGGCAAUUGAUACUUUAGAUAUUCAGCUGCAAGACAUAUGCAGUUUUCAUUGACAUCUUUUGGAGAAACUGACAAACCUGGACUUGAAUUAAUGCCUUUGGAACCUUCCAAGAUGUUAUAUAACUCUAGAUAGAAGGCUGGGCCUCCAUGAUGUCAGGAAUGUUGCAUUCUUAUUUCCCCAUAGAUAAACCCAUUUGUCCACAAAGUCAAGGAGUCAGGCAGAGGCCCUUGCCAUGGGGCUUUUUAGGAUAAAGCAACAAGCCUGGACUUUGCUCUACAACAGGGUUUUGCAUAGGGAGUGGUAUGACCAGAUCCCUCAAGAAAGAAAGCUUAGAGACCAGGCCAGAGUCCACUGCAGUAGCCCAGUCAAGAGAGGAUGGUGACUUGGACUUGUAGUAGAGCCAGUUAGAAUGAAAGAAAUUGACACAUUCAGAAAUGGUUUUAGAGAUAGAGUCAAACUGGACCUGAUAAAGAACUAGAGAAGCGGAGUGAGGAUAAAGAGAAGAGCCAUGACUGACUCGGAAGAUUUUGUCUUGAAAAACUUGAGAACUCAAGACAGAGUGAAAUAAAAUCACAUGUGGGAAAAA
rnacentral:lncRNA from 1 species